GUAUUGCUUAAUGGUCCCAUCAGAAAUUGGCUCUGCUGAGCUAGGCAUUGCUUAUGCUAGCUUCCAUCAGCAGAGAAAUCAAAAUUAUGUUGAACAACAAGACCGUUUUGCACAUCAAAUCAAAGGGGAAGCUUUACUUCACAGAGCAAGGAUCUCGGUGUCUGAACGUUUUAAGUCAACGCAUUAGGAGCAUCUCUACUGUGACCGUGAUUAGAAAUAUACAGUCUUCAAGAAAAUCCUGAAAUUCUGAAAGGAAGAUGUACUAAAAGGCCCAGCAAGAAUGGUAGACACAUGGCCAUCCUGACACACUCCUGAGAUUCAGAAAUUGGGCUUCUCCAACUGCUUGUAGUAUUUGAACUGCCCUACAAGGAAAAUGGCAUUGUACUUUGUACUAGAGUAUCACACACAUUACUGAACUUAAAUUCCCCAGGUGACAAAUUGGGAAAUUGCCACAGUCUGUUUCUACACUCAUUUUUCACCAAGGUAAGAAGGUUUUCUUUUCCUUCUCUGUAUCAUUGCUCUCAUAUUGCUGCAGAGAUUCCAGAAAUAUGGUCCAACCUAUCCCCUAAGCAUAGCAUAGCACAUUUAAAAAAAUAAAAACAAUACAU